rnacentral:rRNA from 1 species
GACGAAGGGGGCUAGCGUUGUUCGGAAUUACUGGGCGUAAAGCGCGUGUAGGUGGUUGUCGUAGUCGGGUGUGAAAGCCUUGAGCUCAACUCAAGAAAUGCACUUGAUACUGGGCAGCUAGAGGACCGGAGAGGAUAGUGGAAUUCCCAGUGUAGUGGUGAAAUACGUAGAGAUUGGGAAGAACACCAGUGGCGAAGGCGGCUAUCUGGACGGUUUCUGACACUAAGACUCGAAAGCGUGGGGAGCAAACAGG